rnacentral:rRNA from 1 species
GGUAGAGAGAAGCUUGCUUCUCUUGAGAGCGGCGGACGGGUGAGUAAUGCCUAGGAAUCUGCCUGGUAGUGGGGGAUAACGUUCGGAAACGGACGCUAAUACCGCAUACGUCCUACGGGAGAAAGCAGGGGACCUUCGGGCCUUGCGCUAUCAGAUGAGCCUAGGUCGGAUUAGCUAGUUGGUGAGGUAAUGGCUCACCAAGGCGACGAUCCGUAACUGGUCUGAGAGGAUGAUCAGUCACACUGGAACUGAGACACGGUCCAGACUCCUACGGGAGGCAGCAGUGGGGAAUAUUGGACAAUGGGCGAAAGCCUGAUCCAGCCAUGCCGCGUGUGUGAAGAAGGUCUUCGGAUUGUAAAGCACUUUAAGUUGGGAGGAAGGGCAGUUACCUAAUACGUGAUUGUUUUGACGUUACCGACAGAAUAAGCACCGGCUAACUCUGUGCCAGCAGCCGCGGUAAUACAGAGGGUGCAAGCGUUAAUCGGAAUUACUGGGCGUAAAGCGCGCGUAGGUGGUUAGUUAAGUUGGAUGUGAAAUCCCCGGGCUCAACCUGGGAACUGCAUUCAAAACUGACUGACUAGAGUAUGGUAGAGGGUGGUGGAAUUUCCUGUGUAGCGGUGAAAUGCGUAGAUAUAGGAAGGAACACCAGUGGCGAAGGCGACCACCUGGACUGAUACUGACACUGAGGUGCGAAAGCGUGGGGAGCAAACAGGAUUACAUACCCUGGUAGUCCACGCCGUACACGAUGUCAACUAGCCGUUGGGAGCCUUGAGCUCUUAUUGUCGCAGCUAACGCAUUAAGUUGACCGCCUGGGGAGUACGGCCGCAAGGCUAAAACUCCAAUGAAUUGACGGGGCCCG